GGGGAAUAUUGCACAAUGGGGGAAACCCUGAUGCAGCGACGCCGCGUGAGUGAAGAAGUAUUUCGGUAUGUAAAGCUCUAUCAGCAGGGAAGAACGGAACUAAAGUUCCGGGGACGGUACCUGAGUAAGAAGCCCCGGCUAACUAC
rnacentral:rRNA from 1 species